rnacentral:sRNA from 1 species
CUCUAGCCCCGAUUGCAACGGCAUCCUUUUUCUUUUUAGCAGUGGGAAAAGCUUUGGCAAAAGAAAAAGAUAAAGUGGAAAGCGGGAUUUAGC